GAUGAACGCUGGCGGGAUGCCUAACACAUGCAAGCCGAGCGGUAUUGUUUCUUCGUAGAUGAUAUAGCGGCGUACGCGGGCGUAACACUUGUGCGACCUGCCUUUAUCUGGGGGAUAGCCUUUCGAAAGGAAGAUUAAUACUCCAUAAUGUAUUUAUCUUCAUCGGUUAAUAUUAAAAGCUCCGGCGGAUAUAGAUGGGCACGCGCAAGAUUAGCUAGUUGGUGAGGUAACGUCUCACCAAGGCGAUGUUCUUUAGCGGGCCUGAGAGGGUGAUCCCCCACACUGGUACUGCGACACGGACCAGAAUCGUACGGGACGCAGGAGUGAGGACCAUUGGGCACUGAGUGCAAGCGUGACACAGCCACCCCGCGUGAAGAACGCCUGCGAUAUGGGUUGUCAACUUCUUUUGAAUAGGGAUAAACCUACCAACGAGAGGCUAGUUGACGGUACUAUACCAAUAAGCCACGGCUAACUCCGUG
rnacentral:rRNA from 1 species